rnacentral:rRNA from 1 species
AAAAAUAAAAUUAAUAAAAUAAAAAAUAAUAAAAAUAAUUUUAAUAUAAAAUAUAAUAAUGGGGGUUAAAGUAUUUAUAUAGAAAAAAUUAUAAAUUUUAUAGUUAAUUAGUAUUGUAAAAUAAAUUUGAAAUAAAUAAAAAUAAAAUUAAUAAAAAGUAAAUUUAAAUUAUUGUAUCUUGUGUAUCAGAGUUUAUUAAAAAAAUUUUUUUCUUAAAAAAAUUUCGAAUUUAAAAGAGAUAAUUAAUUAAAAAAGUUAAUGUGACAUAAUUAUUUUAAAUAAUUAAUUUGAAAUGAAAUGUUAAUCGUUUUUAAAUAUAUCUAAUUUUUUUAGAAAAAAAUUUAAUUUUAAAAUUUUUAUAAAAUAAAAAUUAAUUAAUAAUAAUUUUUAUAAUAAAAAUUUAAAUAUUUUAAGGGAUAAGCUUUAAAUUAAAUUUUUAUAAUAAAAUUAAAAAAUUUUAAAAUUUUUAAAAUUUAAAUUGUUUAAAAAUUAAAAUUUAUUAAAAAAUAUUUUAAAAUAAAUAAAAUUUAAUUAAAAUUUAAUUUUUUAUAAAAAAAUAUUGUCCAAUAAAAAAAUAAAAGAUAUAAUGAUAAAAUUAGUAUAAAUAAUAAAUAAAAUAUAUAAUUAGAAAUAAAGUAAUUUAAAGGAAUUCGGCAAAAUUAUAUAUUCACUUGUUUAUCAAAAACAUGUCUUUUUGAAUAAUAAUUUAAAGUCUAAUCUGCCCACUGAUAAUAAUUAAAGGGCUGCAGUAUAUUGACUGUACAAAGGUAGCAUAAUCAAUAGUCUUUUAAUUGAAGACUUGAAUGAAAGAUUGAAUGAAAUAUAAACUGUCUCUAAGUUAAAUUUAAAACUUAAUUUUUUAGUUAAAAAGCUAAAAUAAAUUUAAAAGACGAGAAGACCCUAUAGAGUUUAAUAAUAUAAAAAUUUUUUAUAAAAUAUAAAAUAAGUCAUAAAAAUUUUUUAAAUUAUUUUAUUGGGGUGAUAAAAAAAUUUAAUAAACUUUUUGUAAAAUUUAACAAAAAUAAAUGAUUAAAUGAUCCAUUAUUUAUGAUUAUAAGAAUAAAUUACCUUAGGGAUAACAGCGUAAUAUUUUUUUUUAGUUCAAAUAAAAAAAAAAGUUUGCGACCUCGAUGUUGGAUUAAGAUAAAAAUUAAAUGCAAAAGUUUAAAUUUUUGAUCUGUUCGAUCAUUAAAAUCUUACAUGAUCUGAGUUCAAACCGGUGUAAGCCAGGUUGGUUUCUAUCUUUAAAUAAAUAAAAUAUUUUAGUACGAAAGGAUCAAAUAUUUAAAAUAAUUUUAUUAAAAGAAUUUUAUUAAUUAGAUUAUA